GUUUACAAACAGAUUUGGGACCAGGCUGAGCAGAACAAUAUAGGACUGGGGAUGGCAGACUACACUGGAGAAGGCAGACUACACUGGAGAUGGCAGACUAGACUGGAGAAGGCAGACUAGACUGGAGAUGGCAGACUAGACUGGAGAUGGUAGACUAGACUGGAGAUGGUAGACUGGACUGGAGAUGGCAGACUAGACUGGAGAUGGCAGACUGGACUGGAGAUGGCAGACUGGACUGGAGAUGGCAGACUAGACUGGAGAUGGCAGACUAGACUGGAGAUGGCAGACUAGACUGGGGAUGGCAGACUGGGGAUGGUAGACUACACUGGAGAUAGCAGACUAGACUGGAGAUGGCAGACUAGACUGGAGAUAGCAGACUAGACUGGAGAUGGUAGACUACACUGGAGAUAGCAGACUAGACUGGAGAUGGCAGACUACACUGGAGAUAGCAGACUAGACUGGAGAUGGCAGACUAGACUGGAGAUGGCAGACUGGAGAUGGCAGACUGGGGAUGGUAGACUACACUGGAGAUGGUAGACUACACUGGAGAAGGCAGACUAGACUGGAGAUGGCAGACUAGACUGGAGAUGGCAGACUAGACUGGAGAUGGCAGACUACACUGGAGAUGGUAGACUAGACUGGAGAUGGUAGACUAGACUGGAGAAGGCAGACUAUACUGGAGAUGGUAGACUAGACUGGAGAUGGCAGACUACACUGGAGAUGGUAGACUAGACUGGAGAUGGCAGACUAGACUGGAGAUGGCAGACUGGAGAUGGCAGACUGGGGAUGGUAGACUACACUGGAGAUGGUAGACUAGACUGGAGAUGGUAGACUACACUGGAGAUGGUAGACUACACUGGAGAUGGUAGACUAGACUGGAGAUGGUAUACUAGACUGGAGAUGGUAGACUAGACUGGAGAUGGUAGACUAGACUGGAGAAGGCAGACUACACUGGAGAUGGUAGACUAGACUGGAGAUGGUAGACUAGACUGGAGAUGGUAGACUAGACUGGAGAUGGUAGACUAGACUGGAGAUGGUAGACUAGACUGGAGAUGGCAGACUACACUGGAGAUGGUAGACUAGACUGGAGAAGGCAGACUACACUGGAGAUGGUAGACUAGACUGGAGAUGGUAGACUAGACUGGAGAUGGUAGACUAGACUGGAGAUGGUAGACUAGACUGGAGAUGGUUGACUAGACUGGAGAUGGCAGACUAGACUGGAGAUGGCAGACUAGACUGGAGAUGGCAGACUAGACUGGAGAUGGUUGAUGAUGAUAAAUCGGACCUUUUCUGAAAUACAUCUCGUUGUGUCUCGAUACACCUGUAUCAGUGGUGUUUUGGUGUCCGCGUGGACAAGACAGCAUGCCUGAUGUGGUUCUCCCCGGGGUAUCACGUACACAUGUCAUCCGUCCAUCUAUCACGGUGUACUGCUUUAGUUACCACGCCAUAUGCGCUGUCUCCAGGACAACCGAAUAAGA
ensembl:lncRNA